CAGAACCACAGAAGCCAAGAGAUCACAGAGUGAGGUUGGGUCUCCAGCUGCCUCGGCGGGGGGCCGGCAAGGGUUAAGGCCAGCGAGUCUGUAGCCAGAAGGUCUGCCUAGCAAGGCCCCCUCCCUGCUUCCGGUGGUCUUCUUCCUCUUCCUCCCCACUCACGUGCUCUUUGGUGCAAAAAAAAAAGUUAAGGCAGGCACGGAGCGGGUGAGUGAAAGGAAGAAAAGAGGUUUUGGAGGGGGUUGAAAAAGUUGGCGCCUGGCAGCCUCUUGCCUCGCCCCUGGCAUUAUUAUCACCAUCAUCCUCAUCAUCCUUCCUUCUCCACCCCCACGUUCAUUUUUGGAGGUACCUGAUUUUGCUUUUUUAUUCUGUUUUAACCGUUGGCUUAUACUCCUGCUUGGAACUUAACACGGAGCUGCGGGAUUUCCACGGGAGCCUUUUGGAAUAAGGCAGGGCCAGAAAUCCCUCCACUGGAUUAUGCUGGACAGGGAACGAAAAGUGGAAUGGCAAGGUGGCAUGAUGGGCCUGCAGCCUUUUUCCAGGGAUUCUCCCACAGGAGAGGAGACGGGAGCACUCCAGCCAGAUCAGGUAGGAGAGGAAGCUUACAAAGAUCUAAGGAA
rnacentral:lncRNA from 1 species